rnacentral:rRNA from 1 species
UACGGAGGGUGCAAGCGUUAUCCGGAUUCAUUGGGUUUAAAGGGUGCGUAGGCGGGCAGGUAAGUCAGUGGUGAAAUCUCCGGGCUUAACCCGGAAACUGCCGUUGAUACUAUCUGUCUUGAAUAUCGUGGAGGUAAGCGGAAUAUGUCAUGUAGCGGUGAAAUGCUUAGAUAUGACAUAGAACACCCAUUGCGAAGGCAGCUUACUACACGAUCAUUGACGCUGAGGCACGAAAGCGUGGGGAGCAAACAGG